rnacentral:rRNA from 1 species
UUAAGCAUAUCAAUAAGCGGAGGAAAAGAAACUAACAAGGAUUCCCCUAGUAACUGCGAGUGAAGCGGGAAAAGCUCAAAUUUGAAAUCUGGCAGUUUUUGACUGUCCGAGUUGUAAUCUAGAGAAGUGUUACCUGUGCUGGACCAUGUACAAGUCUCCUGGAAUGGAGCAUCAUAGAGGGUGAGAAUCCCGUCUUUGACAUGGACUACCUGUACAAUAUGGUGUGCUCUCAAAGAGUCGAGUUGUUUGGGAAUGCAGCUCAAAAUGGGUGGUAAAUGCCAUCUAAAGCUAAAUAUUGGCGAGAGACCGAUAGCGAACAAGUACCGUGAGGGAAAGAUGAAAAGAACUUUGGAAAGAGAGUUAAACAGUACGUGAAAUUGCUGAAAGGGAAACGCUUGAAGUCAGUCAUGUUAGCUGGAAAUCAGCCUUGCUUUUGCURGGUGUACUUUCUGGCUGAUGGGUCAGCAUCAAUUUUGACCAUUGGAAAAAGUCUUUGGGAAUGUGGCAUCUUCUGGAUGUGUUAUAGCCCUAAUUCGCAUACAAUGGUUGGGAUUGAGGAAUUCAGCACACCACUAUGGCUGGGUCAUUGACCACAUUUUUGUGCUUAGGAUGCUGGCAUAAUGGCUUUAAUCGACCCGUCUUGAAACACGGACCAAGGAGUCUAACAUGCCUGCGAGUGUUUGGGUGGAAAACCCAUGCGCGCAAUGAAAGUGAAAGUUGAGAUCCCCUUCAAGGGAGCAUUGACGCCCGGACCAGACCUUUUGUGACGGAUCCGCGGUAGAGCAUGUAUGUUGGGACCCGAAAGAUGGUGAACUAUGCCUGAAUAGGGUGAAGCCAGAGGAAACUCUGGUGGAGGCUCGUAGCGAUUCUGACGUGCAAAUCGAUCGUCAAAUUUGGGUAUAGGGGCGAAAGACUAAUCGAACCAUCUAGUAGCUGGUUCCUGCC